AUCAUGUAAUUUUUCCGCACGGUGAAACUCAACGCUAUUUAAUAAUCAGCUUGCAAACGUAUCUUUAAUCCCAGACUUCGUAACAUUUUUCAGGAGAGUAAGAGCAUAAGAACCUUCGCAGGGCCAUCAGUUUUAAGCAUUUAAGAAUCUUGAAUCUUCAUUAGAAUAUUGUUUCGCAGAAAAAAGUUGCAAGUUGUGAUUUAGAGGUUAUGGUUACCAUAACUCACGUCAUCAUUGCUCACGUGAUCGUAUUUACAUUUUUGUUUUGUCCGAUUUUGCCAGAUCUUUUUGUAGAGCAAUGACCGAGAUUGUAUUGAUUUUCCAUCUUGUGAUUUUUGAUGCCUUCUUGAAAUAAAGAAGGAUAUUAAACGAAAAAGCUUGCUCUGGUGAACAUUUUUUUCAUAAUUUUUCUACGAAUUCAAAAAGUCUACAUAUCUUAGAAUUUUUUAUACAUAUAAAAUUACAUGUGAAUUCUGAAAUAUUCAUAUUCUGAGAUUUCUCAUCUUUUAAUUUCUGAAAUUUACUUUUAAUUUUUUUAGAUGUUAUAACAUUUCAUCAGAAAUUAUAGAAUAAAAAAUCUUAGAAAGUAUAGGAUACUUAUUCAUAAUUAACAUAAAUGAACAAUUCUGAGAAAAUAUAUAGACUUUGUGAAUAUUUCUAAGAAGUGUUCCAAUUCGUAUAAAAAAAAUCAGAGAAAGUUAUGAAAUUAUACAAAAGUUCUGAAAAAAAAAUUAUAUGAAAAAUUAUGAAAAACAUUUUCACCAAGACGUUAUAAUCGAAAAAAGUAAAAUAAGAAAAACAUUAUGUCUUAUUUGAGACAAGCAAUCUGGUAAUGUUAAAUUACGUCAUGGAAACGCAUAAAAAAAAACAUGUUUAAAUCGGGGAAACGUAUGCCAUCGUAGUUAUUCGCUGCACAGUGUGAAACAUAUUUCGAUGUUAACAAUAUAGAAUAUCAUUAAAAAAAAACUAUUAUUUAUUAGCGAAAAUAUCAGACGGUCGUGCGUUUGCACGAACGUGUUUACGGCUUCCCCCCGCCCAGCAGAUCGUCGUGUAAGUGCAUGAAAAUUCAAUAUCAGUUGCUCUUGAUAUUUUUGCUAUUAAAUAUAGCACUUUUAUAAAAUAUUCUAUACUUUUAACGUCACGACAUGAUGUAUUACACUAUGUGUCAUCACAUAGUGUACUUAUAGCGACCCAUCUUGCAAGCAUAAGUGCGAUGUCACACAUUUUUCCUGAUUUAAACUCGAUUUUUUUCACGUGUUUCCAUCAUAUAUGUGACAUAUUUUGAUUGACGUUAUCGAAUUGCUCAAAAACUAUAAAAAAUAAUUUUAUUUUAUUUUUUCUGUGCACAGCACUUUCUUUACGCCUUAAAUUAGUUAUUUUCAACUAGUAUAAAAUUAAAAAAUUAAUAAUGAUUUUUCAUCUUUUAUUAUAUUUCAUUUUUUAUUAUGUAAUUUUUUUAAGUCACAUUAUUUUCUUAAUAAACGAAGGAUUGCUCUGAUAAUAUUCAAAAUAAAGAUAAACCAGGCGCGUAAUACAAAAGAUUUGAUAUGCUUGAAAAGUCGAAAUGAUGAUACGAUUUGACGUAACAGUCGUUGACAGCGGAUGUUGAAGUAAGUCGAGGAUAAUUUUACAGAACACUUAUUGCAACUUGGAUUCCGACUUGGUGUAAUAUAAGCGAUUUGCGACAUGCGCGCAAACUUAUCGCAAAUUUAUUCAUACAGCGCGAAUGCGAUUCUUAUCGCGAUUAAUAAUUAACACUUACGCUUUCUUGGUGGUGCAAUUAACGGCGUAUG